rnacentral:rRNA from 1 species
UUGGAGGGCAAGUCUGGUGCCAGCAGCCGCGGUAAUUCCAGCUCCAAUAGCGUAUAUUAAAGUUGUUGCAGUUAAAAAGCUCGUAGUUGAAUUUCGGGACUAGUACGUCGGUCGUGCCUUAGGUACGUACUGGUGUUACUGGUUCCUACCUUCUGACGAACCAUCAUGUCAUUAAUUUGGUGUGGUGGGGAAUCAGGACUGUUACUUUGAAAAAAUUAGAGUGUUUAAAGCAGGCUCGCGCUUGAAUACAUUAGCAUGGAAUAAUGAAAUAGGACG